GCUAAUUGAGUUUGAGAAAUCCAGGAAGCAUCUAUAAAGCAGCAAUAUUGAUCAGCUUUAUGAAUAGCUUCUUGCGUGGUUUUGGGAAUGUCUCGUUGAUGUCUUAGUGGUCCUUGUGACAGAGCAUGGGAUUAUGGGAAGCUUGGAGGGUUUGAUUAUUUGCUUCUAUAGCUUCUCUCCACAACUUGAAAUCAACUAGUGCUUUGUUAAUUAUAUCUGGAAUGGGCCACCUUCGAUUGUUAAAAAUGGC
rnacentral:lncRNA from 1 species